ACGGAAGGCAGCAGUGGGGAAUAUUGGGCAAUGGGCGAAAGCCUGACCCAGCGACGUCGCGUGAGGGAAGACGGUCUUCGGAUUGUAAACCUCUUUUAUAGAGGACGAAACAAAUGACGGUACUCUAUGAAUAAGCCACGGCUAACUACGUGCCAGCAGCCGCGGUAAUACGUAGGUGGCGAGCGUUAUCCGGAUUUACUGGGUGUAAAGGGUGUGUAGGCGGGACAGCAAGUCAGAUGUGAAAAUUAUGGGCUUAACUCAUAACUUGCAUUUGAAACUGUAGUUCUUGAGGGUCGGAGAGGUAACCGGAAUUCCUGGUGUAGCGGUGAAAUGCGUAGAUAUCAGGAGGAACACCGGUGGCGAAGGCGGGUUACUGGACGAUUACUGACGCUGAGACACGAAAGCGUGGGGAGCAAACAGGAUUAGAUACCCUGGUA
rnacentral:rRNA from 1 species